GCCAGACUCCUACGGGAGGCAGCAGUGGGGAAUAUUGCACAAUGGGGGAAACCCUGAUGCAGCGACGCCGCGUGAGCGAUGAAGUAUUUCGGUAUGUAAAGCCCUAUCAGCAGGAAAGAAAAUGACGGUACCUGACUAAGAAGCCCCGGCUAACUACGUGCCAGCAGCCGCGGUAAUACGUAGGGGGCAAGCGUUAUCCGGAUUUACUGGGUGUAAAGGGAGCGUAGACGGCAGUGCAAGUCCGGGGUGAAAGCCCGGGGCUCAACCCUGGGACUGCUCUGGAAACUGUAAAGCUGGAGUGCGGGAGGGGCAGGCGGAAUUCCUGGUGUAGCGGUGAAAUGCGUAGAUAUCAGGAGGAACACCGGCGGCGAAGGCGGCCUGCUGGACCGCAACUGACGUUGAGGCUCGAAAGCGUGGGGAGCAAACAGGAUUAGAUACCCCCGUAGC
rnacentral:rRNA from 1 species